UACAGAGGGGGCAAGCGUUGUUCGGAAUUACUGGGCGUAAAGGGCGCGUAGGCGGCCGCCUAAGUCAGACGUGAAAUCCCUCGGCUCAACCGGGGAACUGCGUCUGAUACUGGGUGGCUUGAAUCCGGGAGAGGGAUGCGGAAUUCCAGGUGUAGCGGUGAAAUGCGCAGAUAUCAGGAGGAACACCGGUGGCGAAGGCGGCAUCCUGGACCGACACUGACGCUGAGGAGCGAAAGCCAGGGGAGCAAACGGG
rnacentral:rRNA from 1 species